rnacentral:rRNA from 1 species
CACAUGACUCUCGGCAACGGAUAUCUCGGCUCUCGCAUCGAUGAAGAACGUAGCAAAAUGCGAUACCUGGUGUGAAUUGCAGAAUCCCGCGAACCAUCGAGUUUUUGAACGCAAGUUGCGCCCGAGUCCUUCUGGCCGAGGGCACGUCUGCCUGGGCGUCACGC